rnacentral:rRNA from 1 species
ACUCCUACGGGAGGCAGCAGUAGGAAUCUUCGGCAAUGGACGAAAGUCUGACCGAGCAACGCCGCGUGAGUGAAGAAGGUUUUCGGAUCGUAAAACUCUGUUGGUAGAGAAGAACGUUGGUGAGAGUGGAAAGCUCAUCAAGUGACGGUAACUACCCAGAAAGGGACGGCUAACUACGUGCCAGCAGCCGCGGUAAUACGUAGGUCCCGAGCGUUGUCCGGAUUUAUUGGGCGUAAAGCGAGCGCAGGUGGUUUAUUAAGUCUGGUGUAAAAGGCAGUGGCUCAACCAUUGUAUGCAUUGGAAACUGGUAGACUUGAGUGCAGGAGAGGAGAGUGGAAUUCCAUGUGUAGCGGUGAAAUGCGUAGAUAUAUGGAGGAACACCGGUGGCGAAAGCGGCUCUCUGGCCUGUAACUGACACUGAGGCUCGAAAGCGUGGGGAGCAAACAGGAUUAGAUACCCUGGUAGGCUCU